rnacentral:rRNA from 1 species
UGCCGCGUGAGUGAUGAAGGCCUUCGGGUUGUAAAGCUCUUUUGUCAGGGAAGAAAAUGGUCAGGCUAAUACCUGAGGCUCGUGACGGUACCUGAAAAAUAAGCACCGGGUAACUACGGGCCACCCGCCCCGGUAAU